rnacentral:rRNA from 1 species
GAUGAACGCUAGCUACAGGCUUAACACAUGCAAGUCGAGGGGUAACGAGAGGAAAGCUCGCUUUCCUUGUCGACGACCGGCGCACGGGUGAGUAACGCGUAUCCAACCUGCCCCCAACUAGGGAAUAACCUUGCGAAAGUAAGACUAAUACCCUAUACUUUCCUCAGAUGACAUCUGACGAGGAAUAAAGAUUUAUCGGUUGUGGAUGGGGAUGCGUCUGAUUAGCUUGUUGGCUGUGUAACGGCUCACCAAGGCAACGAUCAGUAGGGGUGUUGAGAGGAAGGUCCCCCACAUGGGAACUGAGACACGGUCCAAACUCCUACGGGAGGCAGCAGUGAGGAAUAUUGGUCAAUGGGCGGAAGCCUGAACCAGCCAAGUAGCGUGCAGGAUGACGGCCCUAUGGGUUGCAAACUGCUUUUAUACAGGAAUAAAGUUAGCCACGUUUGGUUAUUUGUAGGUACUGUAUGAAUAAGGACCGGCUAAUUCCGUGCCAGCAGCCGCGGUAA